GAUGAACGCUGGCGGCGUGCCUAACACAUGCAAGUCGAACGAACCUUGGGGAACAGAUUACUUCGGUAUGAAGUUCCCCGCUGGUUAGUGGCGGACGGGUGAGUAACGCGUGGGUAACCUGCCGUAUGCAGGGGGAUAACAGUUAGAAAUGACUGCUAAUACCGCAUAAGCGCACAGUAUCGCAUGAUACAGUGUGAAAAACGAUAGUGGCAUACGAUGGACCCGCGUCUGAUUAGCUAGUUGGUGGGGUAACGGCCCACCAAGGCGACGAUCAGUAGCCGGCCUGAGAGGGUGAACGGCCACAUUGGAACUGAGACACGGUCCAAACUCCUACGGGAGGCAGCAGUGGGGGAUAUUGCACAAUGGGGGAAACCCUGAUGCAGCGACGCCGCGUGAGUGAAGAGUAUUUCGGUAUGUAAAGCUCUAUCAGCAGGAAGAUAAUGACGGUACCUGACUAAGAAGCACCGGCUAAAUACGUGCCAGCAGCCGACGG
rnacentral:rRNA from 1 species